CGUUCGUUAUAUAUUAUGUCUGAAGUCAACAUUAUGACGUUCAGCUAUUUUUUAAGCCAACACUGGCUGUUUUUGAAGUGUGACGUGGGGUUUUGAAGAUUCAACAUGGUCGUACUGAUGACUUAAUUUUUUCCCCCGUAAUGCUCAGCGUUCUCAUGUGAUAGGACAUUUUUGAAUGGGUCUCAUCCUUUACUGGUUUGGCAGACAAAGUAUGGACAGAAUUGUCUGGCAAAAUGGAAUAUAAACUGCUUGGAAACGGACAGUCCUCCUGCCUCUUAGAUCCACACAUGAGCUGCCUCUCCCCGAUUCUGAUCAUGUGUCCUUCUCCUGGCCUGAGUUUGGAAUUCUGGCACACGUAGAGGUCUCAUCCUAAAAUGCUUUGCUAAAGCUGGUAAAAUGGAACCAAAUCAACUGUUUUAUGGAUUUGGUCCCCUUCAACCAGCUGUAGCUGUGCAUUGAUCACCCCGUAGAGCUGUGACAAAGAGAGCGAGCUGUUUGAACCAGUACAACCGUACACCCCCACCAUUCGGCACCCCACAUUUUUCGCUUUUUAUGUGGAUCUAAGUUCUGAUGCACUCUUGCCUUGAAUUCAACUCAGGACCGGCUGUAUUCUUAUGCCAGCUCUUGAAUGCAUUUUCUUUAAAGCAUUAAUAUCAUGAUUAAACACUCAUUGUGCAUUGUUAAAACCCAGGUGAGUAUUAUGUAUGUCAAGCCAUUUAUUAUUUAUGAGCUAUAAUUCUUGAUUAUGUAUUCAACCCAAAUCACUAUCAUUGGAAAGUGGGCUCGGGGCUCUUUACGGCUGUCCAUUGAUUUCUUGUCUCUCGGCUGAGUGUAAGCAAGGGAGAUGAGCCAAGCUGGAUGGCGUUAGGGAAUGUGGGGGGGAGGUACAUGUCAAGCUGUUGAACAAGUAAAACAGUCAUUCCUUUUCUCUCUCUCUCUCUCUCUCUCUCUCUCUCUCUCUCUCUCUCUCUCUCUUUUCCUUAUACACUUGUCGUGAUUCUUAAUGCACAAGUGUGAUCAAUAAAAGCUCAUCCUGAAGUUCAUAAACUGCUGAAGUGGUUUGUGCAUGAAACUGACUAUUCAGCUGGAAAUAAUGUUGGGCGGGGACUUUUUAACAUUGGGGUUUUCAAGCAUUACGCUAUGAUAUCAUUGGUUAAUAUUAUUUUUCCCUUCACACUGCUUUGGUGAUAUCAGUAGAAACGGAAAGUCGUUUCAGAUGUGGAGAAAGUUUAAAUUUAAAUAAAAGAUUGAACUUUUUUCUUUAGAGUAACAUUCACUGAUGAAUUGCGCACAAUAAGACCAUGGACACUUAUUUAGAAAGUAAAUAGGGUCAAAUUUGAUUAGUCUUUAAGAGUUUGCUGUUUGAUUGUUGUGCGCAUUUAUUACGUUUAUUCCUGCUCCUCUGCUUAAUAUUGUUGAUAAUAAAAUAUCUCAAAGUUGGCUGAAAUAUCUGUAUUAGUGGUUGACUGAUAUAUCGCAGAGGCCGAUAAACUGACUUGUUUAAUUAUCAGCAUCAGCCGAUAAAUUUUCCCCUUUGGCCGAUUUAUUUCUUGAGGGCAUCGAGAAUUUGCUGCUUGCAUGUGAAGUGACUGAGACAUGUAAACGAGCAGUCACCGUUCUUUUGUUGUUAUGUGCCAUCGUGUUACUACAAUAAUAGACCGGUGUGCAACACAGUCUCAUUUAAACAGUCCGCAUAUCAGAGCCACAGCAGACGCAUUUGAGCUCAAAAUGCUAAAGGCUCGCCUGUUUCAUUCUCCCUCUCUCUGUUCAACAGUUCCCUGUAACUUUUAAUUGUCUUGUCUAAUGAUAAAAAGGCAAAUAUCAAUCAAACUAAUAUCAUAUACCAUCUGCAAAUAUGCGCAUAUCUCGUUUAAACAGAUGUAAUUCACGAACCUCACGAAAAUCCAGCGUUUUCUUCCUGUCGGGCACUCAUCUAAUAUCUUCCUCUGAAGUGUGUAUUCUAUCAGCCAGACUCAAAACUUCAGGAUCAAAAGUUCCUCUGAUGCACAAAUCAUGACAGCAAUCCAAGCAGGCGAUCCAGGCCGUUUAAACUGUCAGGAGAUUGAGGCUCGCACUGGAUCCACAUGAGUGCAACCAAAGUCUUUCUAGCAAGUCAGUCCACUGUCGGCCAUGUUUAGAACGCUCUCGAGAGACUAUUUCCAGUCAUGACAGUGCAGCUCCUAUCUGCUUGAAUGGAGAAAGACCAAAAUCUCCAAAAUGGUUGGUCAAGAUUAUGAUCAAAGUACAUAUUUCAAAUCAGCAGUAAAAUCUGACAACACAGGUAUCAUAAAUGGUGCUUCUUUACCUCAGAUUACACUUAAAAAAAAGCACUUGAAAAACUUGAAAAAGCGAUUACAUACCCAAGGAUGAGAACUUCACAGCUCUUCCUCAGUGUGUCUGUCUAACUAACACAGGUACUCCACUAAAACAACAGAUCAUUUUGCUUGAAGUGUUGCAUUUGUGCUUCGAUUAAAUCUCAACUGCAUCUGGGAGAAACAGCGUGCCGGUUUGUUCACGCUUUCUUUGUCUUUAUAACUUUAUUGCAGUUCAUUAUCAUUCAGUAACACACUGAUAUAGUGAAUGAUGUAUGUCCUUGUGAAAUUAUACACAAUCUCCUCAAAAUCCCAACACUGUAACGAAAUAAUGAAUGGACAUACACCUCAACAACAACUGUUUACUUGAUAAUGGAAGUAGCGACCACAUUUUGCGCUAAGCAUCACAGAAAGUAGGAUAAUGUUGGAUAAGUAAAUGUCUUAUUCACUAUGUACUGAAUGCACAGUUGGUUUGAUUCUGUAUUUUUUGAGAAAAUGCAAUUGCAAACAUGGACAUGCCAUCCAUGGUUGCUGGACUACUGUGUGUACUGUUAUGUCCUUCUUCCUAAUAUACGUAUUAACAAUUUCUUCAUGUGCAAAUAAAUGACUAAAAUUAUAUGACUAAACAGAAAUCAGAAGAAACUGCUAUCUACCAUUUAAAAUACAAUAUUAUUUUUUAGAUUAUUUUUUAUAAAGUUAAUGUUUUCUGUGAAAUUGAGUAAAUAUAGUGCUAAAUAAGAGUUUAUUAUUUAUUUAUUUUUAGAAAUAUUAUGUUUAUGUUAUUUACUAUAUUAAACUGUGUUAUAUAUCUGCACUCUAUUGGCCACCCUGCUCUGUGGAUAUCGACAUCGGCCAUUAAAAAACCCAUAUCAGUCGACCACUAAUCUGUAUAUAUUUAUUUAUUAUAUUUCUACUUAAAAUCCUUAAAAAUCGAACCCAUGACUUGGUGUUGAUAGUGUGAUGUUCUAGCAGUUGAGCUACAGGAACGCAUUUAAUGUAAAAAGGGAAAAAACACUGGAUGUUUGCCCUGGACCCCUCUAGGACUUUUGGUCUUUGAACAGGGCCGUCCUUAGGGUUGUGCAACCCCUGCAUUCGAUGUCGCCAUGGGCCCCACCCUUUGCUUGGGACGGCCCUGUCUUUGAACCCAGAGUUUGCCUCUUUAUCUAUCACUUCUCUAUCUUGUGUAUGUGUGUAUUCUGAUCUUUAAAAAUGUGCUAACAGACAAUAAGUCUUGAACAACUACUUGUUUUACUUGUCAUCCAGAAAAGUAGUUGACUAGUGGGCGAGUCAGUGUUUACCUAUUGUAAAUGUUACAUGGUGUGCAGCAUCAGCAGUCUAAUGGCCGGCUGGGGAGUGUGUCCUGCGUAGCUGAGAUGAUGUGGAAGAGAAACGAAAGCUGAAAUGGUGCAAAAAACAGAAAUAUCCUACUUGUUGUUAGUUUCCGUCAGCCUCUGGAUGAGACUUGGUUGGUUUCCGGGGUCUUUAGUCUGUCCAUAUGGUUCACUUAUAACAAGCUUUCUGAACUCAAAGCACACCAGGUUCAAUAUAUUUUCCACAUUCCUAUAAUACCAAAUAGCAACUUAUCAAACAAAACAAACUGCAAGCAAAUGCAAGCAAAUACCAGGACUGCCACCAUACUGAAGCCAGGGAGCUCUAAUAUACCUGGGAAAAGCUAUUCUUUAUUCAUGUCAAUGGCAGUUCCUCGGCUGACACAUACAGCCCCCCGAAAAUAUGCGACCUGGAAGCUGCUAUCUUAUAGGCACCAGGCAGCAAACAGGGAAAAUACAAUUCUAUUUCACACUUUUAACCUUUUCGCACGUGAGUUUCUCCUGUACUGACAGAUCCCCCAGCGUGAGUUAUUUAAGGUGCGCUGUACAUUUUUUUUUUACAAAUCUUAUCUUACACUUCACAGCAGAUGCAAUUGAGGACAGAUUAUAUCACAGCAUGUGCACUGAAGGUCAGAUUAUACAGUACUGUGCAAAAGUCUUAGGCACAUAAGAUGUUUCACAAAAGCAUUUGUCUUAAGAUGGUUAUUUAUAUCUUCAGCUUUAGUGUGUCAAUAGGAAAUAUACAUUUUAGACUCCCAAACAUUACUUUUGCAAAUAGAAAAGAUUAGAAUAGAAGAACAGAGAGCCCUGCAACAGAUGCCAUUGCCCCCACAAAGCCCCCCACUGAACAUCGUGUCUGUCUGAGAUUACAUAUAGAGACAGAAGCAAUUGAGACAGCCUAAAUAGAUAGAAGAACUGUGGCGAAUUCUCCAAGAAGCUUGGAACAUCCUAUCUGCCAGCAACCAAGAAAAACUGUAUCCAGGUGUACCUAGGAGAAUUGGUGCUGUUUUAAAGGCAAAGGUGGUCACACCGAAUAUUGAUUUAGCUUUUUUAUGUUUGCUGGACUUUGUAUGACAUUAAGCGAUAAAUGAAAACUAUUUAUUUCAUUAUUUUUGAAGACAUCUUCACUAUGCAACAUUUUUCACAAGUGCCUAAAACUUUUGCACAGUACUGUAUAUUAUCAAACAUAUAAUGUGGUUUUUAGAUGUUUAUAAUGAUUGAUUAUUAUCGAUAAGAUGUGUUCACAAAUGUGCUUGCUGGCUACGCUAGCCGCCAUAUUGUUUACACUGUAAUGCAGCAUGGUAUUCUGAGUUCGUGAUAGAAGAAU